CUGAAUGGCCUUUUUGGGCCUGAAACCUUUCAAACCUGUGGAAGCAACAUGUGCUUCGGCGCCCCAGGGGCGCCGCUUUUAUGCUGUAAUCAGUCUUGUGUCUGAAUCUGAAUAAGAAUCA
rnacentral:misc_RNA from 1 species